UUGCAUGCUUCGGCUGCACAUAUACUAAAAUUGGAAUGAGACAGAGAUUAGCCUGUCCCCUGCAUAAGGAUGACACACAAAUUGUAAAGCGUUCCAUAUUUUA
rnacentral:snRNA from 1 species